rnacentral:rRNA from 1 species
AACGAACGCUGGCGGCAGGCCUAACACAUGCAAGUCGAGCGAAGCCUUCAGGCUUAGCGGCGGACGGGUGAGUAACGCGUGGGAACGUGCCCUUUGGUACGGAAUAGCCCCGGGAAACUGGGAGUAAUACCGUAUGUGGUCGAGAGACGAAAGAUUUAUCGCCAAAGGAUUGGCCCGCGUUGGAUUAGGUAGUUGGUGGGGUAAUGGCCUACCAAGCCGACGAUCCAUAGCUGGUUUGAGAGGAUGAUCAGCCACACUGGGACUGGGACACGGCCCAGACUCCUACGGGAGGCAGCAGUGGGGAAUCUUAGACAAUGGGGGAAACCCUGAUCUAGCCAUGCCGCGUGAUCGAUGAAGGCCUUAGGGUUGUAAAGAUCUUUCAGUGGUGAAGAUAAUGACUGUACCCACAGAAGAAGCCCCGGCUAACUCCGUGCCAGCCGCCGCGGUAACAC